UACGGAGGGUGCAAACGUUGCUCGGAAUCAUUGGGCGUAAAGCGCACGUAGGCGGUCCGGUAUGUCGGGUGUGAAAGCCCUCGGCUUAACCGAGGAAGUGCAUUCGAAACUGGCGGACUUGAGUACCGGAGAGGGUCGCGGAAUUCCCGGUGUAGAGGUGAAAUGCGUAGAUAUCGUGAGGAAGACCAGUGGCGAAAGCGAAUCUCUGGACAGAUCCUGACGCUGAUGCACGAAGGCUAGGGGAGCAAGCGGG
rnacentral:rRNA from 1 species